rnacentral:rRNA from 1 species
GAUGAACGCUAGCUACAGGCUUAACACAUGCAAGUCGAGGGACCGGCGCACGGGUGAGUAACACGUAUCCAACCUGCCCUUUACUCUGGGAUAUCCUUUCGAAAGAAAGAUCAGUACCCGAUGUAAUGGAUGGGUAUGCGUUCCUUUAGGUUGUUGGUGAGGUAACGGCUCACCAAGACUUCGAUGGAUAGGGGUUAUGAGAGGAAGGUCCCCCACAUGUGAACUGAGACACGGUCCAAACUCAUACGGGAGGCAGCAGUGAGGAAUAUUGGUCAAUGGGCGUUAGCCUGAACCAGCCAAGUAGCGUGAAGGAUGAAUGCUUAUGGGUCGUAAACUUCUUGUAUAUAAGAAGAUGUAUUAUAUGAAUAAGGAUCGGCUAACUCCGUGCCAGCAGCCGCGGUAAUUC